ensembl:lncRNA LINC02817 long intergenic non-protein coding RNA 2817
AGACAAGAGGAAAAGUAACUGGUGAGUUUUGGAUUUAGAAAAGUUUUGGAUUCAUCUGUUUAUGAGGAGGAAAAGAGGCCAAGAAAAGGCAGCAAUUUGUCCAUGUGCUUAAUUAGUGAGUGGCAGUGGCAGUAACCUGGUCUGCUGAGCUCCCUGGACUCCCUGAUCCCAGCUCAAAAUAGUUUCCAGUUUUCAUCUGCCAGUUGCUUCGGAGGCUUUUCUAAGGAAGACAGUUCAUAAAAUGACCCAGAAUUCAUCCUCCUUAGGUGAUAGGAUCAUUACUCCUUAUACACCCCCUAGGUCUCAGCCUAUGAACAAACACUUGUUUGUUUCUCUGUCUACCCUGUUCCAAACCACCGAACUGGAUUUUGCCAACAAGAAGAGCUGUUUCCUGUGCCUGCCCCUGAGAGCUGAUGGCUUCCCAGAGAUGCCUCACAGUCCUGCGCAGACAGAGAGAAUGCAGAAGCUGGCAAAGGAUCCUCCACACGCAAGAUCAGAGGACGUCCCAGAUCAUCUUUUCUUUGUGGAUACUGCAGGUCUACGUGAAAUACCAGGUGUACAGUAAGGAGCAGACAACAUGGCACUGGCCAAGUGGAAAGGCUGUUUGCAUAAUAAGAUUACGAUGGGGUGGCCUGCCUUCCCUGUGUGCUACGUAAACAUCACACCUGAUCCAACCAAUCUGCAGGCCCUACAUAAAUCAGACACCGCCUCCUCCAGCCUGCCUAUAAAAUCUGGUACACUCCACGUGGGCCAGAAGUCCCAUUUGGAUGCCCCUCUCUUUCGCAAGAGAGAGAGCUGUUCUCCUUUCUCUUUCUUUUGCCUAUUACAUUCCGCUCCUAAAGUCACUUCUCAUGUAUGUCCACGUCCUUAAUCUUCUUGAUGCAAGACAAUGAACCCGGGUAUUUACCCCAGACAACAACACCACUUCACUAGGAGUUAAAAGAACUUGAAAUGCAAAUUCAUGGUCAUCUGGUUCCAAAGCCCAUAUUAACAAAAUUUUUUUAAUUGUGAUAAAAUACACAUAACAUAAAGUUGACCGUGUUAACUGUUUUUAAAUGUACAGUCCAGUAGUGUUAAGUACAUUCACAUUGUUGGGCAAUCCUUCUUCAGAACUUUUUAAGUUUCCCAAACUGAAGCUCUGCGUCUAUUAAGAACAACUCUUUCUUCCAAUCCCCAGCUGUUGGCAACUAUCAUUCUACUUUCUGUCUUUAUGCAUUUAAUAAUUCUACGUACCUCAUAUAAAUGAAAUCAAAUGGUAUUUGUAACUGGCUUAUUUCACUUAGCAUAAUAUCCUCAAGAUUCAGUCAUAUUGUUAUAUGUGUCAUAAAUUGCAUUUGUAAUAUCACAAACUACACCUUGAUAUAUUGUCUACUGAUUAGCAUGGAUUUAUAAUUAUUUUUAUGCUUUGCCUUCUACAUUCUAUAAAAGAAUAAAAAGUUGAGUUAAAAACCAAAAUUAUAAUAAUGAAA